AGGGUGGCGCUUUGAAGUGAUGAGGUUUUGAGUGACCUUCUAUGAAGAUUAAGGUCACUGGAUUGGUCUGUCUUAAGAGGUGAAGUUAUCAAACCAAGAGUGCUUACAUUGACAGCUUGAGGCACAGGACUAAUUUCUACUGCAUUUGGCAACAUGAGUAUGAAUCACUUGAUCCACCAAGACUUGAACGAGCUGUGGAGGACAAGUAGUUGGUACUUGACAAAAAGCCACUGUGAUGGGCAUUACUUGCACCGGGUACCACCUGGAAAACUCGCAGUUGUGCCCCGAAUGAUUGUGCACCGUCCUCUAAUCACUCGAACGUGAUGCCACACUAACAACUACUGUGGGACUAGGUGGUUUCAAUAUCAUACUUGUGAGGCUGACUUUCAUGAACUAUAGUGUCACGCCAUUUUUCUGUAUCAAACCAUGUAUAAUAAAAGUAUGAAAAAUCCA
rnacentral:lncRNA from 1 species